UAUUAUGAGAGUUUGAUCCUGGCUCAGGACGAACGCUGGCGGCGUGCCUAAUACAUGCAAGUCGAACGCUUCUUUUCCCACCGGAGCUUGCUCCACCGGGAAAAGAGGAGUGGCGAACGGGUGAGUAACACGUGGGUAACCUGCCCAUCAGAAGGGGAUAACACUUGGAAACAGGUGCUAAUACCGUAUAACAAUCGAAACCGCAUGGUUUCGUUUUGAAAGGCGCUUUACGGUGCCGCUGAUGGAUGGACCCGCGGUGCAUUAGCUAGUUGGUGAGGUAACGGCUCACCAAGGCCACGAUGCAUAGCCGACCUGAGAGGGUGAUCGGCCACAUUGGGACUGAGACACGGCCCAAACUCCUACGGGAGGCAGCAGUAGGGAAUCUUCGGCAAUGGACGAAAGUCUGACCGAGCAACGCCGCGUGAGUGAAGAAGGUUUUCGGAUCGUAAAACUCUGUUGUUAGAGAAGAACAAGGGUGAGAGUAACUGUUCACCCCUUGACGGUAUCUAACCAGAAAGCCACGGCUAACUACGUGCCAGCAGCCGCGGUAAUACGUAGGUGGCAAGCGUUGUCCGGAUUUAUUGGGCGUAAAGCGAGCGCAGGCGGUUUCUUAAGUCUGAUGUGAAAGCCCCCGGCUCAACCGGGGAGGGUCAUUGGAAACUGGGAGACUUGAGUGCAGAAGAGGAGAGUGGAAUUCCAUGUGUAGCGGUGAAAUGCGUAGAUAUAUGGAGGAACACCAGUGGCGAAGGCGGCUCUCUGGUCUGUAACUGACGCUGAGGCUCGAAAGCGUGGGGAGCAAACAGGAUUAGAUACCCUGGUAGUCCACGCCGUAAACGAUGAGUGCUAAGUGUUGGAGGGUUUCCGCCCUUCAGUGCUGCAGCUAACGCAUUAAGCACUCCGCCUGGGGAGUACGACCGCAAGGUUGAAACUCAAAGGAAUUGACGGGGGCCCGCACAAGCGGUGGAGCAUGUGGUUUAAUUCGAAGCAACGCGAAGAACCUUACCAGGUCUUGACAUCCUUUGACCACUCUAGAGAUAGAGCUUCCCCUUCGGGGGCAAAGUGACAGGUGGUGCAUGGUUGUCGUCAGCUCGUGUCGUGAGAUGUUGGGUUAAGUCCCGCAACGAGCGCAACCCUUAUUGUUAGUUGCCAUCAUUUAGUUGGGCACUCUAGCAAGACUGCCGGUGACAAACCGGAGGAAGGUGGGGAUGACGUCAAAUCAUCAUGCCCCUUAUGACCUGGGCUACACACGUGCUACAAUGGGAAGUACAACGAGUCGCGAAGUCGCGAGGCUAAGCUAAUCUCUUAAAGCUUCUCUCAGUUCGGAUUGUAGGCUGCAACUCGCCUACAUGAAGCCGGAAUCGCUAGUAAUCGCGGAUCAGCACGCCGCGGUGAAUACGUUCCCGGGCCUUGUACACACCGCCCGUCACACCACGAGAGUUUGUAACACCCGAAGUCGGUGAGGUAACCUUUUUGGAGCCAGCCGCCUAAGGUGGGAUAGAUGAUUGGGGUGAAGUCGUAACAAGGUAGCCGUAUCGGAAGGUGCGGCUGGAUCACCUCCUUU
rfam:Enterococcus mundtii QT 25 DNA, complete genome.